AUUGAACGCUGGCGGCAGGCCUAACACAUGCAAGUCGAGCGAGCGGCGGACGGGUGAGUAAUGUAUGGGGACUGCCCGAUAGAGGGGGAUAACUACUGGAAACGGUAGCUAAUACCGCAUACUAUAGGAUAACCCCUAUGGGAUUAGCUAGUAGGGGGGGUAAUGGGCCACCUAGGCGACGACCCCUAGCUGGUCUGAGAGGAUGAGCAGCCACACGGGAACUGAGACACGGCCCAUACGCCUACGGAGGCAGCAGUGGGGAAUAUUGCACAAUGGGCGCAAGCCUGAUGCAGCCAUGCCGCGUGUAUGAAGAAGGCCCUAGGGUGGUAAAGUACUUUCAGUGGGGAGGCGUUACCGACAGAAGAAGCACCGGCUAACUCCUUGCCAGCAGCCGCGGUAAUAC
rnacentral:rRNA from 1 species